UUGAACGCUGGCGGUAGGCCUAACACAUGCAAGUCGAACGGUAACGGACCGCUGGGAUCCCUUCGGGGUGACCUUGGUGCCGACGAGUGGCGGACGGGUGAGUAACACGUAGGAAUCUGCCCAACAGAGGGGGACAACCCGGAGAAAUCCGGGCUAAUACCGCAUACGCCCUACGGGGGAAAGCGGGGGAUCUUCGGACCUCGUGCUGUUGGAGGAGCCUGCGUCGGAUUAGCUUGUUGGUGAGGUAAUGGCUCACCAAGGCGACGAUCCGUAGCUGGUCUGAGAGGAUGAUCAGCCACACUGGGACUGAGACACGGCCCAGACUCCUACGGGAGGCAGCAGUGGGGAAUAUUGCACAAUGGGCGAAAGCCUGAUGCAGCCAUACCGCGUGUGUGAAGAAGGCCUUCGGGUUGUAAAGCACUUUCGUCAGGGAAGAAAGGUGCGGAGUUAAUACCUCCGUACUGUGACGGUACCUGAAUAAGAAGCACCGGCUAACUCCG
rnacentral:rRNA from 1 species